rnacentral:lncRNA from 10 species
CAUGAAUAUUCUGGACAUCCCGAAGGUGUGAUGCAGCGUGGAGAGUGGGUGCACAUCAGCAUCACCAGCACCUCUGUUAAGCAGAAUACUGUGCAUGGGUAUUAAUCCCUGGUGGGGAAUUCUGUGCGACUAUUAAGAAUCCCAGAGGAGAACUCUAAACACCUUGCCAGCUUCUACUAAGGUUCCUAGAUCUGGCAGGUUUCUAGAUCUGGCAGGAGGUUUUGCCCAAACCCAGCUGCCAGUGUAUGAGUUUGGUGAGACAGAGCACUUGUGCAACAUGUCAGGCAAAGCAAGUUUAGUACUCCCAGGCAGGGAGCAAGGGCCAACAGAAGUCUAGGAUCCAUGAUGUGCUGGUCCCCCAAGGCUUAGGGAGGCUGCCCAGGGUGGAUGCAGUCUUAUCUGUAUGUGCUCCACUAUACAUCUGAUAUAGUUUGGAUAUUUGUCCCCUCCAAAUCUCAUGUUGAAAUGUGAUCCCCAGUGUGGAGGUGGGGCCUGGAGGGAGGUGUUUGGGUCAGAGGGGUUGAUCCCCCAUGAAUGGCUUCGUGUCCUCCCCGUGGUAAUGAGCGAGCUCUCAGCUAUUACUUCAUGUGAGAUCUGGUUGUUUUAAAGAACCUGGCACCUUCUCCUUUCUCUUUUGCCCCCUCUCAUGCCAUGUGACAUGCUGCCUCCCUCUUUGCCUUCCACCAUGAGUGGGAGCUUCCUGAGGACCUCACCAGAAGCUGAGGAGAUGCUGGUGCUAGGCUUCUUGUAGAGACUGCAAAGCCGUAAGACAAAUGAACUUCUUUUUUGUAUAAAUUGCCCAGAUAUUCCUUUACAGCAAAACAAAAUGGACUGAUAUAGCACCACUACUGAGGGACCCUGAAAGCAUUCUGCUCUGGUUUUAUACCUCAGAGGCCACUUGGAUUGGUGAGCCAAGCAUUGCAGGCUGUUCUAGGAAUGACGGAGACAAAGCCUGGGCUAUUCUGGGCAUUUCCUCCUAUCUCAGAAUGUUGCAUUCUCUGUACAUUCUGCCCAAGAAUUGCAAGCAAAGGAGGGUCAGCCAAGGCUAUUUGCAGGCUUGUCCUCCUGUCUGGUUGAAAGAUCCUUCAGUACCAGCCAACUCUCUCUCCUGGUUCCAUGUUCACUCUGCUACUUUCUAAUUAUUACUCCAGGUUGGAGGGAUGGAUGAUGGACAACAACUUUUCUCAUCACUGGAAGGGCAUGUUCCCCACUGAAACUGAAUCCACUGUUUUUUGUUUGUUUGUUUAUUUGUUUAUUUUUGUUUUUGAGACAGCGUCUGGCUUUGUUGCCCAGACUGGAGUGCACUGGUGCAAUCUCGGCUCACUGCAACCUCUGCCUCCGGGGUUCAAGAGAUUCUCCUGCCUCAGCCUCCCAAGUAGCUUGGACUACAGGCACGCACCACCAUGCCUGGCUAAUUUUUAUAUUUUUAGUGGAGACAGGGUUUCACCAUGUUGGCCAGACUGGUCUUGAGCUCCUGACUUCAAGUGAUCCACCUGCCUUGGCCUCCCAAAGUGCUGGGAUUACAGGCAUCAGGCCACUCCACUGGGUUUUGAGAAUCAGUCAAUUUUAUGUGUGUUUAGGUUACUUAGCUGCAUUCCUAAAGUCUCUGAACCAGUCAGCCAGGAGCUUGGAUAUCAAGACCUUGGAGGGAGUUUGGUGUCAGUUUUCAGCAUCAAACUCCCUCCAAGGUCUUGAUAUCCAAGCUCCUGGCUGAUCUGGGAGCCACAGCAGGGGUCAGGGCCCUGUGAUCCCCAGCCUGAAACUGGCAGUCAGAUUUCACAGGCUUCAGACCACAGAGGAGCACUAGGACCCCACCAGAGGUGGUCCGGAGGCUGACCUGAAGGCCCUGGGGAUGGGCUAUGCAAGCUGAUUGCUCACUGCGAGUAGCAAGAGAUGCCUUGAGCCUCUUAUGGGAUCAUGAGGAUUGUGUGCUGGGAUCCCGGCAGACAAAGCUGAGAUUCAGCUGGAUAAAGCAGGCUGUAGCACAGCUGAUGUUUGUUCUCUGUGGAAAUCAGGCUCUUUUCUCCUAAGGUGAGUUCUAGAGCAGUUAUUUCUACUAUUAGUCCAUUUUUUUGGCGUAUAUUCUAUGUGCCUAACUGAGGUUCAUUUGGUGUUUUCAUCUUCAUGCAAGCCCACUGAAGUGGGUGGUACUAUCCCUGCUUGACACAUAGGAAACUGAGUCAUAUACAAGUUAAAUAACUUGCCCAACAAAUAUAAUCAUUAUUCAUUAACACAUAGAUUUGUCUUUAAACCCCAUGCUCUUAACUUUUUUUUUUUUUUUUUGAGACAGGAUCUCACUCUGUUGCCCAGGCUGGAGUGCAGUGAUGCCAUCUUGGCUCAUUGCAGCCUCCGCCUCCCGGGUUCAAGCGAUUCUCCCACCUCAGCCUCCUGAGUAGCUGGGACUACAGGCAUGCACCACCAUGCCAGGCUAAUUUUUAUAGUUUUUUUUUUUUUUAGAGACAGGGUUUCACCAUGAUGGCCAGGCUCCCAUGCUCUUAACUUCUAAGCCAUAAUGUUUUAUGAAUUCAGUUAUGAAUUGGAUACGUGUUGUGAACUAAAAUUCAAGCAAUUUUGUAUUCUAACCCAACAUGAACAUUGAAGUUAGUGGGGUGCCUAAAUGCUGGCUGAGGGUGGGAAACCAAGUUAACUACAGAGCCUCUUGCCUGGUCCUGCCUUCAAGUGCACCUUCCCAGUCUCAGCCUGGGCUGCUCUGAACAGGUUUUCUUGGACUUGUCAGCAAGAUACAGGCUUCCAUUGACAGUUUUGGAGUCAGGCUUAAAUAUGUGGAAAAUGCCUCUAUGUCAGGCAAUUUCUUUCCAAAGUAUGCUUAACUUCUUCUGGCUUUCAUAGUUGUGAAUCUAUAAAUUCUUUUGAGUAGAAAAGUGGUUUGCAUCCUUGACAAAGUAGUUGGCAUUAGAACCUAGUCUCGUCAGUGUUUGUUUGGCUUUUUGAUUUUUAAAAUUCAGAACAAAUUGUAAUGUGACUCAGGUCUUGAACGUAUAACUCAGUGUUCCUGCACCAGGAGGGAAGAAGUGUGCUCCUCUUUAGGUAGAGAAGUUCUAGGAAUACCACAUAAAAUUAUAUAUAUACACAUAUACAUGAAUAUACACAUACAUGUAUGUAUACAUGAAUAUAUAUGUGAAAAUGUUUUGGCAACUGUAAAUUGCUAUACAGAUGCUGGGUAUGUAACUUUGUUAAUUUUGUCAUUUUGUAUAUAGCAGCUCUCAUACUAUUUGCUGUAUUUAGCGGUUUUAUUUUUCUUAAAAUUCCUUGCCUUUUCAAAGCUCUUAAUGAGGCAUUUUUUCCCUUCUGUUCUUUCCCUGACAUGCCCCAUCCCCACAAUUUGCCCUAAAGAGGAAAACAAAAAAUUUUCUUUAUGACAAUCAGCACUUUCAACACUUCCGUGACCAAACGAGUGGCUUCCCCCAACACUCCCCCACACCAACCAAUUCUCCCAUUCUUUGGAUGCCAGCUGGGCAUCCUAUAGUUCAAUUGUGACACCAACUACCUGGAGUUAGUGUUAGUAUAGGUUAAGGGCUCAGUCCCACAAGACUGUCCCUGCUCCAGAAGCCAGUUGCAAGUGCUGAAUCCCCAAGUUACCCGCACUUCUGUCAGCCUUCGCUACAAAACCCAGGACCUCCUCUUCAAGUUUGACAAUUUGUUGUGUUGGCUCUCAGGACUCAGGGAAACACUUUUGCUGGUUUAUUAUUAAGGAUAUGAUAGAGGAUACAUAUGAAUAGCCAAAUGAAAACAUAUAUAGAGCAAGGUCAGCAAGGGUCCUGAAUGCAGGGGCUCAGUCCCCGUGGAGUUGGGGUGCACUGCCCUCUGGGCACAUGGGUGUGUUCACCAACACAGGAGGUCUCUGAACUCUGUCUUUUAGGGAUUUUUAUGGAGGCUUCAUGUAGGCGUGAUCAAUUAUUAACUCAAACUCUAUCUCUUCUCCCCUCCCUAAGGAUGGGAGUGGAGCUGAAAGUUCCAAGCUUCUAACCACGGCUUGGUCUUCCUGGAGACCAGCCCUCAUUAAGGAGCCCAGCAAGAGUCACCUCAUUAGAAGAAAAGAUGCUCCUAUUACACAGGAAAUUCCAAGGCAUUUAGGAUCUCUGUGUCUGAAACUGGGGUCAAAAAUCAAAUAUUAGAACAAAAGACACUCCUAGCACCUUUAUGGCUUAGACAAUUACAAAGGUUUUAGGAGCUAUGGCCAAUAGCUGGGAAAGAAGAUCAAAAUGUAAAUUUCUUAUGUCAUAAUAUCACAACUUUUAGUUUCCCCUCUGUGUCUCUGAACAUACAAUCAGACAGGAACUCAUAUAAUUACAUCAUUUGGUACGUUUACAUAAAUGUAUUUACAUGCUACACAUCAUUUGUUAACUUGUCUUUUUCAUGUUAAUGUGUCUCAG